UACAGAGGGUGCAAGCGUUAAUCGGAGUUACUGGGCGUAAAGGGCGCGUAGGCGGUUCUGUAAGUGAGAUGUGAAAUCCCCGGGCUUAACCUGGGAACUGCAUCUUAGACUGCGGGACUGGAGUACUGUAGAGGAUAGUGGAAUUUCCGGUGUAGCGGUGAAAUGCGUAGAGAUCGGAAGGAACAUCAGUGGCGAAGGCGACUGUCUGGACAGAUACUGACGCUGAGGCGCGAAAGCGUGGGGAGCAAACAGGAUUAGAUACCCUGGUAGUCCACGCUGUAAACGAUGAGAACUAGAUGUUAGCAGGCUUGGCUUGCUAGUAUCGAAGCUAACGCGAUAAGUUCUCCGCCUGGGGAGUACGGCCGCAAGGUUAAA
rnacentral:rRNA from 1 species